CGGGGAGGUCGCAAGCCGUAGCAGGAGAACACUGGAUCGCACAGAAAGAAAACUCCUACGAAGAAAGUUUCCAAUCUGCCUGGGAUCUCGCGUGCUCCUCCCAGAAUGGAGCUCCCUGCACACAGGCAGGUCCAGCCAGGCACUGCGCCUUGUAUUUUAAUGUGUGGCAUAAAACAGAAAGAAAAAGCAAACCCCAGCGACGUCGGUCACGCAGGAUGUGGUUACAAAGAGCUUCCUGUGACACUGCAAGGUUUGAAACUGGAGGUGCACGCGCAGACCUGAUGAAUGAAGUAAUUACCGCCUAUUGAGUCUGCGGCGCACGCGAGAGUAUUCUUCAAAAACAUCCAGUUUCCCGGCACCAGUUUACUGAAGAGAACGCCUUUCCCGUGGCCUUCCUGGACCUUGCUGAGCACCCGUUGAACCUGCGGCUUGGAUGCCGGCCCGCCGGGCCAGGCCACGGGAGGCCACGCGAGGCCACACUGCUGCAACGCUGCCCGGUAAGUGCGGAUGGCCGCGGGGCCGCCUCCAACUUUGUCAGUAUUGCUUUGGCUAUGUGCAGACAUGUUUUAUGGCUCAAUAUGAAUUUUAGGAUUUUUUAAUAUUUCUGUAAAGCAUGCACAUGAAAUGUGAGAAAGAUUUCCUUGAAUUUGUAUAGUGCUUUGGGUAGUAUGGAUAC